rfam:Nicotiana sylvestris Nsyl_contig45723, whole genome shotgun sequence.
AUACUUACCUGGACGGGGUCAAUGAGCGAUCAAUAAGGCUCAUGGCCUAGGUUGGUGACCUCCAUUGCACUUUGGAGGGGUGCUCGCCUAAGGUCAAUCCAAGUGAUUGAGCCUACCUCAUAAUUUGUGGGAGCGGGGGCCUGCGUACGCGCGGCCCCUAC